rnacentral:rRNA from 1 species
UGUGCCAGCCGCCGCGGUAAUACAGAGGGUGCGAGUGUUAAUCGGAUUUACUGGGCGUAAAGCGUGCGUAGGCGGCUUUUUAAGUCGGAUGUGAAAUCCCCGAGCUUAACUUGGGAAUUGCAUUCGAUACUGGGAAGCUAGAGUAUGGGAGAGGAUGGUAGAAUUCCAGGUGUAGCGGUGAAAUGCGUAGAGAUCUGGAGGAAUACCGAUGGCGAAGGCAGCCAUCUGGCCUAAUACUGACGCUGAGGUACGAAAGCAUGGGGAGCAAACAGGAUUAGAUACCCUGGUAGUCCAUGCCGUAAACGAUGUCUACUAGCCGUUGGGGCCUUUGAGGCUUUAGUGGCGCAGCUAACGCGAUAAGUAGACCGCCUGGGGAGUACGGUCGCAAGACUAAAACUCAAAUGAAUUGACGGGGGCCCGCACAAGCGGUGGAGCAUGUGGUUUAAUUCGAUGCAACGCGAAGAACCUUACCUGGCCUUGACAUACUAGAAACUUUCCAGAGAUGGAUUGGUGCCUUCGGGAAUCUAGAUACAGGUGCUGCAUGGCUGUCGUCAGCUCGUGUCGUGAGAUGUUGGGUUAAGUCCCGCAACGAGCGCAACCCUUUUCCUUACUUGCCAGCAUUUCGGAUGGGAACUUUAAGGAUACUGCCAGUGACAAACUGGAGGAAGGCGGGGACGACGUCAGUCAUCAUGGCCCUUACGGCCAGGGCUACACACGUGCUACAAUGGUCGGUACAAAGGGUUGCUACACAGCGAUGUGAUGCUAUCUCAAAAAGCCGAUCGUAGUCCGGGAUUGGAGUCUGCAACUCGAC